rnacentral:rRNA from 1 species
AGAGUUUGAUUGUGGCUCAGAACGAACGCUGGCGGCGUGCCUAAUACAUGCAAGUCGAGCGUGAAAGUCCUUCGGGAUGAGUAAAGUUGCGCACGGGUGAGUAACACGUAGGUAAUCUGCCUUUUAGUGGGGAAUAACACAGCGAAAGUUGUGCUAAUGCCGCAUAAGUAAGCAAUUAGAAAGUGGCCCUCUAUUUAUAAGGUCAUGCUGAAAGAAGAGCCUGCGGCCUAUUAGCUAGUUGGUGGGGUAAAGGCCUACCAAGGCAACGAUAGGUAUCCGGUCUGAGAGGAUGAUCGGACACACUGGAACUGAGACACGGUCCAGACUCCUACGGGAGGCAGCAGUAGGGAAUAUUGCGCAAUGGGGGAAACCCUGACGCAGCAACGCCGCGUGAGUGAGGAAGGUCUUCGGAUUGUAAAACUCUUUUGCUAGGGAAAAAUGACUUUAUGGCUAAUAUCCAUAAAGAGUGAUGGUACCUAAAGAAUAAGGACCGGCUAACUUCGUGCCAGCAGCCGCGGUAAUACGAAGGGUCCAAGCGUUGUUCGGAAUCAUUGGGCGUAAAGCGCGCGCAGGCGGAUCAGCAAGUCAGAUGUGAAAUCUCGAAGCUCAACUUCGAAACUGCGUCUGAAACUGCUAGUCUAGAAUGUCGGAGGGGGCAGGGGAAUUUCACGUGUAGGGGUAAAAUCCGUAGAGAUGUGAAGGAACACCGGAGGCGAAGGCGCCUGCCUGGACGACUAUUGACGCUGAGGCGCGAAAGCGUGGGGAGCAAACAGGAUUAGAUACCCUGGUAGUCCACGCCGUAAACGAUGAGCACUAGUUAUUGGGGGUAUUGACUCCCUCAGUGACGCAGCUAACGCAUUAAGUGCUCCGCCUGGGGAGUACGGUCGCAAGACUAAAACUCAAACAAAUUGACGGGGGCCCGCACAAGCGGUGGACCUAUCGUGACUGGGAAAC